UACGUAGGGGGCAAGCGUUGUCCGGAUUUAUUGGGCGUAAAGAGCGUGUAGGCGGCUUGGUAGGUCCGCUGUGAAAACUCGAGGCUCAACCUCGAGAUGUCGGCGGAAACCACUUGGCUAGAGUCCGGAAGAGGAGAGUGGAAUUCCUGGUGUAGCGGUGAAAUGCGCAGAUAUCAGGAAGAACACCUAUGGCGAAGGCAGCUCUCUGGGCCGUAACUGACGCUGAGGAGCGAAAGCGUGGGGAGCGAACAGG
rnacentral:rRNA from 1 species